rnacentral:rRNA from 1 species
GAAAGAAAAGGAGUGGCGAACGGGUGAGUAACACGUGGGUAACCUGCCCAUCAGAAGGGGAUAACACUUGGAAACAGGUGCUAAUACCGUAUAACAAUCGAAACCGCAUGGUUUCGGUUUGAAAGGCGCUUUUGCGUCACUGAUGGAUGGACCCGCGGUGCAUUAGCUAGUUGGUGAGGUAACGGCUCACCAAGGCAACGAUGCAUAGCCGACCUGAGAGGGUGAUCGGCCACAUUGGGACUGAGACACGGCCCAAACUCCUACGGGAGGCAGCAGUAGGGAAUCUUCGGCAAUGGACGGAAGUCUGACCGAGCAACGCCGCGUGAGUGAAGAAGGUUUUCGGAUCGUAAAACUCUGUUGUUAGAGAAGAACAAGGAUGAGAGUAGAAUGUUCAUCCCUUGACGGUAUCUAACCAGUAAGCCACGGCUAACUACGUGCCAGCAGCCGCGGUAAUACGUAGGUGGCAAGCGUUGUCCGGAUUUAUUGGGCGUAAAGCGAGCGCAGGCGGUUUCUUAAGUCUGAUGUGACAGCCCCCGGCUCAACCGGGGAGGGUCAUUGGAAACUGGGAAACUUG